rnacentral:rRNA from 1 species
UCGAGGAUAUUUAGCAAUGGGCGAAAGCCUGACUAUGUGACGCCGCGUGAGGGAUGAAGGUUUUCGGAUCGUAAACCUCUUUCGAUGGGGAAGAAACUCCCGCCGUAAUGGGCGGGACUGACGGUACCUAGAGAAGAAGCCACGGCCAACUCCGUGCCAGCAGCCGCGGUAAUACGGGGGUGGCGAGCGUUACUCGGAUUUAUUGGGUGUAAAGGGCAGGUAGGUGUCCCACUAAGUUAGAAGUGAAAUCCUGCAGCUUAACUGCAGAACUGCUUUUAAAACUGAUGGGAUUGAGGACAGGAGAGGAGAGCGGAAUUCCCGGUGUAAGGGUGAAAUCUGUAGAGAUCGGGAGGAACACCUGUGGCGAAAGCGGCUCUCUGGUCUGUCCCUGACGCUGAACUGCGAAAGCUAGGGGAGCAAACAGG